UUUCUAAGACUAAGCCAUGCACGUCUAAGUACAAACUAAAUGAUGGUGAAACUGCAAAUGGCUCAUUACAACGGUUAUGAUGUACCCGGGAGUUCCGAUGGAUAUUUCCAGUAACACUAGAACUAAUACAUGUCCCUGCGUUUAUUAGUUUCGCACAGUCCGUCGCUGAGUCAUGGUAAACAGUUGAUCGACUCGACGUCCCGGAACAGUUUCCGCCCCAUCAGCUUCGAUGGUUGGGUAUUGGCCUACCAUUGCAACAACGGGUAACGAGGAAUUAGGGUUUGAUUUCGGAGAGGGAGCCUGAGAAACGGCUACCACGUCUACGGAUGGCAGCAGGCGCGCAAAUUACCCAAUGCAGACACUGUGAGGUAGUGACGAGAAAUAAUAAAGCGGGACUUCUGUUUCGCUAUUAUAAUGAGGAAUAACCAAAGGUCAUUCCGAUUAGCAACUGAUGGGAAAGUCUGGUGCCAGCAGCCGCGGUAAUACCAGCGUCAGUAGCA
rnacentral:rRNA from 1 species